CAACGAGACCUGAACCGACAAGAACAACAACAACAACAUCAAAAGGAGAAGAAGAAAUUUACAAGAAUUAUAAAAAAGCGAUUCAUCUCGGCGUGAACGACUUGCCAGCUCCUAACUAAGGCACAUGAAGGAGAAAAAGGAAAAGGGGAUUGAUGGAUGGAUGGCGACGAGGGUCUGUGCGGUCAGAGACUAUGCGGACCAGGCACGCCCACUCCUGAGCUGCGAGUCGUCGCUGCUGGUUCGCCAGCUGCUGCUGCUGUUGCUGCUGCUCUACGGCUUGGGCUGCGCUCACGGCUAACGAAGAACUUUCUCUAUCUCUGCGUGUGUGUGUGUGUGUCUGUGCUGCGUACGUACCUCCCACUUGGCCGCUUUUUUCAAAAAGAAAUAAGAACCGGUCAGCCAAAACGCCAGGGCCGCCAGUAGGAACAAGAAAGGGUAGAUGCGGUUCGUGACGAAGGCCCACUCCCGCUUGCGCAUCUUCAUGGUGACGUAGAAGACGGAAUAGACAAAGAGGUUGAUCAUGAAGACGGCCAGCAGGUGCGUGUUGAAAUCAACGCUGUCCAUCACCAGCUGCUGCACGGCGAAUGCCACGUUGCAGACGAUUCCUGUAUCAGAGGAGUUAAUAUAAUAAAUCCUGAAAUGAUUUAGUUUCAAGUCGACAGCAACAACCGGAGAGCAACAACAAUCGCCGCCCUUCACUUUGUCGCCGAUUGUUGUUGUUGCGCGAGACUUACCGACAACCACCAAGGUCAAGCGCUCCAGAUACAGCGGUCGUGAUUUCCAGCAGGUGUUGACAUGCUCCACCAUUGUUUCUUUGUCUGCGUCCAGGUGAAGGCAAAUCCAAUCAAAAGGAAUCAGAAAGAAAAA